rfam:Triticum aestivum genome assembly, contig: Triticum_aestivum_CS42_TGACv1_scaffold_622855_7DS
CUCAUACUCCCUCCGUCCGGAAAAGCUUGUCCCUCAAAUGGAUGUAUCUAGCAUAUAGUUAGUGCUAGAUUCAUCCAUGAGGAACAAGGUUGGGACAAGUUUUUUCGGACGGAGGGAGUACUUA